GGGUUGUGAGGUUAAGCGACUAAGCGUACACGGUGGAUGCCCUGGCAGUCAGAGGCGAUGAAGGACGUGCUAAUCUGCGAUAAGCGUCGGUAAGGUGAUAUGAACCGUUAUAACCGGCGAUUUCCGAAUGGGGAAACCCAGUGUGUUUCGACACACUAUCAUUAACUGAAUCCAUAGGUUAAUGAGGCGAACCGGGGGAACUGAAACAUCUAAGUACCCCGAGGAAAAGAAAUCAACCGAGAUUCCCCCAGUAGCGGCGAGCGAACGGGGAGCAGCCCAGAGCCUGAAUCAGUGUGUGUGUUAGUGGAAGCGUCUGGAAAGGCGCGCGAUACAGGGUGACAGCCCCGUACACAAAAAUGCACAUGCUGUGAGCUCGAUGAGUAGGGCGGGACACGUGGUAUCCUGUCUGAAUAUGGGGGGACCAUCCUCCAAGGCUAAAUACUCCUGACUGACCGAUAGUGAACCAGUACCGUGAGGGAAAGGCGAAAAGAACCCCGGCGAGGGGAGUGAAAAAGAACCUGAAACCGUGUACGUACAAGCAGUGGGAGCACGCUUAGGCGUGUGACUGCGUACCUUUUGUAUAAUGGGUCAGCGACUUAUAUUCUGUAGCAAGGUUAACCGAAUAGGGGAGCCGAAGGGAAACCGAGUCUUAACUGGGCGUUAAGUUGCAGGGUAUAGACCCGAAACCCGGUGAUCUAGCCAUGGGCAGGUUGAAGGUUGGGUAACACUAACUGGAGGACCGAACCGACUAAUGUUGAAAAAUUAGCGGAUGACUUGUGGCUGGGGGUGAAAGGCCAAUCAAACCGGGAGAUAGCUGGUUCUCCCCGAAAGCUAUUUAGGUAGCGCCUCGUGAAUUCAUCUCCGGGGGUAGAGCACUGUUUCGGCAAGGGGGUCAUCCCGACUUACCAACCCGAUGCAAACUGCGAAUACCGGAGAAUGUUAUCACGGGAGACACACGGCGGGUGCUAACGUCCGUCGUGAAGAGGGAAACAACCCAGACCGCCAGCUAAGGUCCCAAAGUCAUGGUUAAGUGGGAAACGAUGUGGGAAGGCCCAGACAGCCAGGAUGUUGGCUUAGAAGCAGCCAUCAUUUAAAGAAAGCGUAAUAGCUCACUGGUCGAGUCGGCCUGCGCGGAAGAUGUAACGGGGCUAAACCAUGCACCGAAGCUGCGGCAGCGACGCUUAUGCGUUGUUGGGUAGGGGAGCGUUCUGUAAGCCUGCGAAGGUGUGCUGUGAGGCAUGCUGGAGGUAUCAGAAGUGCGAAUGCUGACAUAAGUAACGAUAAAGCGGGUGAAAAGCCCGCUCGCCGGAAGACCAAGGGUUCCUGUCCAACGUUAAUCGGGGCAGGGUGAGUCGACCCCUAAGGCGAGGCCGAAAGGCGUAGUCGAUGGGAAACAGGUUAAUAUUCCUGUACUUGGUGUUACUGCGAAGGGGGACGGAGAAGGCUAUGUUGGCCGGGCGACGGUUGUCCCGGUUUAAGCGUGUAGGCUGGUUUUCCAGGCAAAUCCGGAAAAUCAAGGCUGAGGCGUGAUGACGAGGCACUACGGUGCUGAAGCAACAAAUGCCCUGCUUCCAGGAAAAGCCUCUAAGCAUCAGGUAACAUCAAAUCGUACCCCAAACCGACACAGGUGGUCAGGUAGAGAAUACCAAGGCGCUUGAGAGAACUCGGGUGAAGGAACUAGGCAAAAUGGUGCCGUAACUUCGGGAGAAGGCACGCUGAUAUGUAGGUGAAGUCCCUCGCGGAUGGAGCUGAAAUCAGUCGAAGAUACCAGCUGGCUGCAACUGUUUAUUAAAAACACAGCACUGUGCAAACACGAAAGUGGACGUAUACGGUGUGACGCCUGCCCGGUGCCGGAAGGUUAAUUGAUGGGGUUAGCGCAAGCGAAGCUCUUGAUCGAAGCCCCGGUAAACGGCGGCCGUAACUAUAACGGUCCUAAGGUAGCGAAAUUCCUUGUCGGGUAAGUUCCGACCUGCACGAAUGGCGUAAUGAUGGCCAGGCUGUCUCCACCCGAGACUUAGUGAAAUUGAACUCGCUGUGAAGAUGCAGUGUACCCGCGGCAAGACGGAAAGACCCCGUGAACCUUUACUAUAGCUUGACACUGAACAUUGAGCCUUGAUGUGUAGGAUAGGUGGGAGGCUUUGAAGUGUGGACGCCAGUCUGCAUGGAGCCGACCUUGAAAUACCACCCUUUAAUGUUUGAUGUUCUAACGUGGACCCGUAAUCCGGGUUGCGGACAGUGUCUGGUGGGUAGUUUGACUGGGGCGGUCUCCUCCUAAAGAGUAACGGAGGAGCACGAAGGUUGGCUAAUCCUGGUCGGACAUCAGGAGGUUAGUGCAAUGGCAUAAGCCAGCUUGACUGCGAGCGUGACGGCGCGAGCAGGUGCGAAAGCAGGUCAUAGUGAUCCGGUGGUUCUGAAUGGAAGGGCCAUCGCUCAACGGAUAAAAGGUACUCCGGGGAUAACAGGCUGAUACCGCCCAAGAGUUCAUAUCGACGGCGGUGUUUGGCACCUCGAUGUCGGCUCAUCACAUCCUGGGGCUGAAGUAGGUCCCAAGGGUAUGGCUGUUCGCCAUUUAAAGUGGUACGCGAGCUGGGUUUAGAACGUCGUGAGACAGUUCGGUCCCUAUCUGCCGUGGGCGCUGGAGAACUGAGGGGGGCUGCUCCUAGUACGAGAGGACCGGAGUGGACGCAUCACUGGUGUUCGGGUUGUCAUGCCAAUGGCACUGCCCGGUAGCUAAAUGCGGAAGAGAUAAGUGCUGAAAGCAUCUAAGCACGAAACUUGCCCCGAGAUGAGUUCUCCCUGACUCCUUGAGAGUCCUGAAGGAACGUUGAAGACGACGACGUUGAUAGGCCGGGUGUGUAAGCGCAGCGAUGCGUUGAGCUAACCGGUACUAAUGAACCGUGAGGCUUAACCUUACAACGCCGAAGGUGUUU
rnacentral:rRNA from 1 species